GAUGAACGCUGGCGGCGUGCCUAAUACAUGCAAGUCGAGCGAACAGACGAGGAUCUUGCUCCUCUGACGUUAGCGGCGGACGGGUGAGUAACACGUGGAUAACCUACCUAUAAGACUGGGAUAACUUCGGGAAACCGGAUCUAAUACCGGAUAAUAUAUUGAACCGCAUGGUUCAAUAGUGAAAGACGGUUUUGCUGUCACUUAUAGAUGGAUCCGCGCCGCAUUAGCUAGUUGGUAAGGUAACGGCUUACCAAGGCGACGAUGCGUAGCCGACCUGAGAGGGUGAUCGGCCACACUGGAACUGAGACACGGUCCAGACUCCUACGGGAGGCAGCAGUAGGGAAUCUUCCGCAAUGGGCGAAAGCCUGACGGAGCAACGCCGCGUGAGUGAUGAAGGUCUUCGGAUCGUAAAACUCUGUUAUUAGGGAAGAACAAAUGUGUAAGUAACUAUGCACGUCUUGACGGUACCUAAUCAGAAAGCCCCGGCUAACUACGUG
rnacentral:rRNA from 1 species